UUUGCUUCAUCUGGAGAUGAAGAGCAGAGCUGAGCCGAGCGCGGGCGGGGCGGGUGGCCAGGAAGGGAGCUCGGUGCUCAGAGGACUCGCCGGGUGAGCAGGUAGCUGGGAAGGUGAACAAACAUUUGCCAGAAACAGCCCUUUCGCUGGCAAGUUGGGAUCCGGGAGAAGUAAGACUGACCAACACGUUGGGGUGCCUGGCCCAUGCCAGGCGCAGUGCCCCGUGCUCCUGCGUUCCCCACCGUCCGUUCCGCCCAGGGCCCUCCGAGGGAGGCGCUGGGUCGUCUCCAUUGUGCAGAUGGGCAAAGUGCGGUUUCAAGGCUGAAGUGGAUUUCCCCAGGUUCUGUUCCAAGUGCUUUCAGCGGUCAGGCAUCCCUCUCGGAGAUACUGAAGGUGCCGAACACACCAUGAAGUUCGCGUCUCUGUCUGUCUGUCUGUCUGACCCACCCCCUGAUGCCCGGCCUGAUGACGGUGACUCUUCCUAGAAGCGGAUGGAGCCUGCAAGGCGCCCUGUGGGAAGAACCAUGCCUCUGUGUCUCCCGCAAGAUUCGAAUCUGUAGUCCGAGGACUCAGGGCGUCCCCCGGAGCCAUGGGUUGGGAUUAGACACCAGGUAUAAUUCUAGCAGAGCUCUGGAGAAGCCAUGUUGGCCUCUUGGAGCCGCCCCUCACCGCACGGCUUCCUUCCUAUAAUACAAGCACAAUGUGUGGUCAGUCAGUUAAAAAAAAAAAUAGCAAAGGGAUCAGCUGGAGUUUGUGAAAGUCCAUCUGUGUUUGGGCUGCGCCAUGGCCUACCUGAGCAGAAUGACCUGGGUGAGGCCAUCUUGGGGGGAAGAGAGGUCGCAGCUACAGCUGGUUCUCCACAGCCAGAGGGAACAGUCAAAAGUGCUGCCAACUCCCAGGUCCUUGUGGACUGUCUCUGAACCACUAAAUGAAGUCGUCCUUGAGGCUCAUGAUCAAAAAGCGCCUCUGAAUCUUUGUCAUGCCCACGGAGGCAGCCGCCCCCAUUGUGGAAGAAAUCAGAGGGUUCUAAAGAUGUCGAGCAUCUCCCGCUGAAACUGGGGAAGCUGGCUGUCCUUCAGCUUCCCUCUCAUCUCUAGGUCAUUCCUGAAGUACCAGUCACAGAGGUCAUGGUAGACCACGGUCCCUGAGGCGGCUGUCUGGGAUGACCAUCAGUCCGGUUCUUCAUCUUGGCCCCGUCUCUGCGCUGUCACCCUUAGCUGGUCGUGCUUGUACGGGAAGAUGUUUUUGCUCUCGGCACUAGAAAUAGCUGUUCUCAGUAUCAGUGAGGAGAAAACCCCUUGCACUGGACAUCAGAGCGGCGGAAAGGACAGCGUGUUUAUUUCCAUGUCACUGUAGCUCUUCACGGGGGACGAUCACGGCAGUCUCAAACUCAGUCUUCUCAGCCUGCUGUCCCUUCUCUUUAGGACCUGCUUUACAUUGCAGAAGGGAUGCAGCUCCUAAACCUGGUGUUAGGAGAUGAGCAUUAGAUUAACUCUAAGAAGCCUGGAGAACCCUUUAAAUAAAAUAUUCGGCCUCUC